AGGAUUGGGAGCAACCGGGAUGGGAGCAAUUUGGACUGCUGAGAGGAAGCAAGGACACUUGGAUCCAGUAGGACGCACGGCAGAUGGAGCCAGGCAGCAAGUCCAGCUCCAGCUGGCAGGCAGGGAGAGGGCGAAGCAGCAGCACCAGUGACCUUGCUGAUUUAUUCAUUAGACAGCGCUUAGAAGAAGGGGAGGAUUGAUUUGUCUGUCAAAUGCAACACCAAACCAUGCGGCCUGCAAGGGGAGGACUAAUUGUGCUGCUGACACUGAGGCCAGUACUGACUUGCGCAGUCAAGCACCUUUUUAUUAUGUUUUCCCGCUAGUCAGCCCUUCUUCUUUUCAUCUGUCCUAUUACCUUGGCAAUUUAUUGAUGUGAAACUGAAUUUAAGUGGUUAUUUUGCCUGUGAAAAUGAGGAGGAAAAAACAGCUGAUACUGAAUGCGGUGAAAUGUUGGAUUAGUCUCUGUGUUACUGUCAUUUGGAACCAGUUUGAAGCCACCAGGCUGUGCAAGCCACAGUAGCACCUCUCUGGCAGCAAAAUGCCUUCGGGAGGCUGAGUCUCUUGUUCAAAAGCACUUUGUGAACUCCUAGGAAAGGUGUCCCAAAGUGCUCGUGAUGAUGUAGGCUCUUGAUUCUUAAUUUCAAAGGAUUCUUGAAUGCUUCAAACUUCCUGCCUGCUGUUGUAAUCACUGUCGGAGCAGCUAUUCAGUUUUAUUUCAUUAUAGAAAGAAAACCUUUCUGUAAAUGCAGUGCGAUCACUCUGAGGCUGCCAUUCUUGAAGACAAGCAAGGGACGAAUGUAAAUUGCCUAUUUGCUGAGCCACGCAGGCAUUGGCGAGUCCACAUAGCAUGGUGCUGAGCAGACACGUUCUUGGCUGGGUUGCA
rnacentral:lncRNA from 1 species